UACGUAGGGGCAAGCGUUGUCCGGAUUUAUUGGGCGUAAAGAGCGUGUAGGCGGCUAGAUAGGUCCGUUGUGAAAACUCGAGGCUCAACCUCGAGACGUCGAUGGAAACCAUCUGGCUAGAGUCCGGAAGAGGAGAAGUGGAAUUCCUGGUGUAGCGGUGAAAUGCGCAGAUAUCAGGAAGAACACCCGUGGCGAAGGCGGCUCUCUGGUACGUGACUGACGCUGAGACGCGAAAGCGUGGGGAGCAAACAGG
rnacentral:rRNA from 1 species